rnacentral:lncRNA from 1 species
CUGCGGAGUUUUGUUGGCAACCGUUAAGAAGAUUCGUAAGUUACAUUUCCCAAGCCCUUCCCCUCUCCAGGAGCACAACACCCGCAUCCCCAGCAUCAUGAAAACAAGCGCGGCCACCGCGAUGUGCGACACGUGGGGCCUGGAAUCUCACUGCAGACCGCGCUGCAAACGCUCAGCCGCGCCUUUGAAUAAGUUAGACGGCCUGCGGGGGCGUCCGACCAGAUAACACAAGGAAUGCGGAUGCCACCCUUGCCUCUGCUUUCCCUCCAAACCUGCUCAGGCCCCUGGAUCACAGGACCCUCCCCUGCACCAAGGCAGCUUCUCCUGUGGGCUGAAUGGUGCCUCCUGUCCACAGUCCAGCCAGCCCCACCCGAGGGGACACCCACCUGAAUCUGGCAGCACUGCCUCCUCGUUAGGGCAGUGCCACAGGAGUCCUG